rnacentral:rRNA from 1 species
UCUAUGGAGAGUUUGAUCCUGGCUCAGGACGAACGCUGGCGGCGUGCCUAAUACAUGCAAGUCGAGCGGAGUUUUGAAAAGCUUGCUUUUCAAAACUUAGCGGCGGACGGGUGAGUAACACGUGGGCAACCUGCCCUUGAGACGGGGAUAACUCCGGGAAACCGG